rnacentral:rRNA from 1 species
CUGCUCACUGCGAUUAGUAAAUUGCUGUGGUAUUUUGACUAUACGAAGGUAUUGAAAUAAGGCUUUAAAUAAGUGCUAAAAGAAUGGUGGAACAGGGAUUUUCUUUUUUGAAUUUAUUAUUAGAAGUUAAUAUUUAAGUGAAAAGGCUUGGAUGUUUUUUUGGGACAAGAAGACCCUAUGAAUUUUUAAAAAAAAAUAAAUAUAUUUAUUUUUUUAAAAAUUAAAUUUUAUUUUUUUUUUUAAUUGGGGUGAUUUUUAAAGAAAAAGUAUCUUUAGAAAAAAAUUAAUAGACUCAUUUUUAUGUUUUUUUGUUAAAAAUACUCUAGGGUUAACAGCGUAAUAAUUUUGGAUAGUUCAUAUAGAUAAAAUUGAUUGCGACCUCGAUGUUGGAUUAGGAUUCUUUUAUAGUGUAGAUGCUAUAAGAAGAAGUUUGCUCAACUUUUAAUUUCCUACAUGAUCUGAGUUCAGACCG